CGCCUCUUGCCAAUAACCAUGUAUAAGAGGUCCAGCCUGCCCAGUGACUAUAUGUUCAACGGCCGCGGUAUUCUGACCGUGCAAAGGUAGCGUAAUCACUUGUCUUUUAAAUAAAGACUGGUAUGAACGGCACCACGAAGGUUCAACUGUCUCCUGCAUCCAAUCCAUUAAACUGACCUCCCCGUGCAGAGGCGGGGAUAUAACCAUAAGACGAGAAGACCCUAUGGAGCUUUAAACUAAAGGCAACUGCCAAACCAUUCAACCCACAAGGAUAAACAAUAAAACAAGCAGAAAUUGACCUAAAGUUUUCGGUUGGGGCGACCAUGGAGAAUAAAAAAUCCUCCUUGAAGAAUAGGGCUUACAACCCUUAACCAAGAACCACUAUUCUAAGUAACAAAAUUUAUGACUGCAAUUGAUCCAGUCCUACUGAUCAACGAACCAAGUUACCCUAGGGAUAACAGCGCAAUCCAUUUCAAAAGUUCCUAUCGACAAAUGGGUUUACGACCUCGAUGUUGGAUCAGGGCAUCCCAGUGGUGCAGCCGCUACUAAAGGUUCGUUUGUUCAACGAUUAAAGC
rnacentral:rRNA from 1 species